rnacentral:lncRNA from 1 species
CUCUAAUGACAGUAAUUUAUAAGGCAGUGUUUAUUAAAAAUGAAAAUAUUUUUUAAAUUAUGUCAGUUAAAAACCCCCAAAACAUGGGAAUUACGUGCUCAUCUAUCAUCACUUUUCCUCUUCUAUUCCACAAUCCUGCUCUAGUACUGGUGUGAUACUCUGCCACUGGCCCUACUUUGAAAGGAGACAUUGAAGACCUGCUUGAAAGGUGUUCAAUGUCCAAAAAAAAAUCCACAUCAAACAAAAAAACCCCAAACACUUUCCCUUACCCCCAUCCCCAGUACAGGGAGCCACUCUGUGCUCUCAAGAGGCUUGGUUUCCUUGGUGAGACAUCCGAUGCCUUUGGUUUGCAUUGAGGGUUUCUUAAUGCAGUUGGGGUUUCUUAAAUUGCAGUGGCUGGGGAAGUAACUUGUGCCAGUUUAGAAAUGGUUGUUGAAUGCGAUUUUACAGUUACUGUUCUCACCGUUUUACAAAAUCCCACUGGGGUUAAUUAGUGCAAGGGAUAAAAAAGGGCAAAGAAGACUUAGAAAGCUUCCAGCACUGCAUUCAGUAUUGAUGGCUAAAAGUAUUGUGUUCCCCACAAGGGGAAUUGAUGUAAUUUCUCUGAACAUUCAGUGUUUGUAAUGUCUUUGGGUUGUUUUCUGCAGGAACUGGGCUCUCGCUUGAACAGCCAUUUUGUGCUGCCUAGGACUCCAUCAGUUGAGAGCAAAGCACUUUAUGAAAAACUCUGGCUUCACUGACCUCAGUGAGGAAAAAGUUUAAUCCCCUGCCUUUAGAGGAAGUCUCUCUUUGAUGAGAGUGCGGAACAAGGAUCAAAUCCAAGACCAACCAGACCAAACUAGAGGCACAACUGUUCCGCCGUCUAUUUUACCAGGACCAGCUUUUUAUCCACUUCUGCCUCUGUGUCAUCCUGAUGCUGCUCCGUUUUGUAGGAUAGACACAAUUCAGCUAUGGAAGAUGUCAUUGCCCAAAGAUAAUAAAAUUUUUUUAAUCUGAAACAUAAUUUUG